GAGGGAUGAUGACACAGAGAAAGGUUUCGCUCACUGGACUGAAGUCCUGAUGAUGUCACUUCCUCUUGGCUGUCUGACCCC
ensembl:snoRNA small nucleolar RNA SNORD53/SNORD92